rnacentral:rRNA from 1 species
CGUAGGAGACAAACGUUAUCCGGAGUUACUGGGCGUAAAGAGCUCGUAGGCGGCUUGUCACGUCGGGUGUGGAAGCCCGGGGCUUAACCCCGGGUCUGCAUUCGAUACGGGCUAGCUAGAGUGUGGUAGGGGAGAUCGGAAUUCCUGGUGUAGCGGUGAAAUGCGCAGAUAUCAGGAGGAACACCGGUGGCGAAGGCGGAUCUCUGGGCCAUUACUGACGCUGAGGAGCGAAAGCGUGGGGAGCGAACAGGAUUAGAUACCCUGGUAGUCCACGCCGUAAACGGUGGGCACUAGGUGUUGGCGACAUUCCACGUCGUCGGUGCCGCAGCUAACGCAUUAAGUGCCCCGCCUGGGGAGUACGGCCGCAAGGCUA